rnacentral:lncRNA from 1 species
AAGAAGGCUUUGGCCCAUCCAUCUCAAAUUUGUUUUCUAGUAGAGAAUUCAAACAUGGUGAUUCCAAUUUUGAACAAGUAAUUAACAUGAAAGCAAAGCCCAAACACCAAAUUGCAAAAUCCAAAAGCAAGUAUCAAAUACAAAAAAACAAUGCAAUUUGAAGAGAAUCUCAAUGUUGAAAUACAAAUAUGCACGGAAAUGGUGCAAAACGCAAUGAGAAACGCGACCAGCUGCAAAUCCAAAACUUUCAUAACAAACUUCAAUCACAAGUCCUAAACUACCCCUAUUGAUUAACUCUAUAAAGCAAUCUGAAAUGGCAUCGCAAGAGGGGGGGUUUUUACACCAACCAUUCUCACCUGCACGCGAAGAAUUCCUGCGCUCCCAUCUUCAUCAUCUUCAACUUGCUUCAAACUGGAGCUUUGAAAGUUCUUCUUGGUUCAUUCAUCACUACAACACAGAAUAAACAAUAACAAAGUCAGAACGACUAUCACGAAUCAAUGCUCACUGCACCACCGCAAUCCGUGUAAAUCAUUCAAAAGCUGAGUCAGAAACACACAGCAGCAUCAAAUUAGGAGUUAACUAGCCCAAGCAGACAACGACGAACUCAAGAACAAUGCCAAGCAUAAGCGAGAAUUGAAAGCAAUAUCGCGAAGAAGAGAGGAGGAGCGAAACGAAUACCUGGAAAUCGUCUCACGUUGAACUUCUAAGAGGUACACGCUAACGCAAUUUUAUGCUUAAUCUUGAUGAAAUACAACGACUUAAGGAUUCGAUUGAUGCUCGCCAUAGCUCGCCGCGAAGCUUGGAGAUCCGUUCGAUUGUUGUCGAUCCAAAUCCGUGCUUACUCGUGAGGUUUAGUCAUCGAAUCGAGUGUGUGUGGAUAAUUUUUAUGUGAUUAUGUUAGUGUUGAUUUUGGAAUCGAAGUAGGUGACGUGAUUUCGCGUUUUGUGUUCUGGUUAAGGAGAGAGACACCGACGAGAAUGGCUGGUCAUUUGCAUCCUUUUUACUGCGUGUGGUGUUUUGAUAACAUUGAGGAAUCAUAGAUCAGCGCCUCGUUUGGCCCAAGGGAGGUUCAAUCCCUCCGUUUUUUUAUUAUUAUUCUUGUUCCAGCUUGGGCUUCUAGGCCCAUUUGUGUGCUCUUGGCACCCUCCAACGAUUCAACACUCCACUGGCUGAG